UACGGAGGGUGCAAGCGUUAUCCGGAUUCACUGGGUUUAAAGGGUGCGUAGGCGGGUUGGUAAGUCCGUGGUGAAAUCCCCAAGCUUAACUUGGGAACUGCCGUGGAUACUAUCAAUCUUGAAUAUCGUGGAGGUAAGCGGAAUAUGUCAUGUAGCGGUGAAAUGCUUAGAUAUGACAUAGAACACCAAUUGCGUAGGCAGCUUACUACACGAUCAUUGACGCUGAGGCACGAAAGCGUGGGGAGCAAACAGGAUUAGAUACCCUGGUAGUCCACGCCCUAAACGAUGGAUACUCGACAUCAGCGAUACACUGUUGGUGUCUGAGCGAAAGCAUUAAGUAUCCCACCUGGGAAGUACGAUCGCAAGAUUGAA
rnacentral:rRNA from 1 species